UACGUAGGGUGCGAGCGUUGUCCGGAAUUACUGGGCGUAAAGAGCUCGUAGGUGGUUUGUCGCGUUGUUCGUGAAAACUCACAACUCAAUUGUGGGCGUGCGGGCGAUACGGGCAGACUGGAGUACUGCAGGGGAGACUGGAAUUCCUGGUGUAGCGGUGGAAUGCGCAGAUAUCAGGAGGAACACCGGUGGCGAAGGCGGGUCUCUGGGCAGUAACUGACGCUGAGGAGCGACAGCGUGGGGAGCAAACAGG
rnacentral:rRNA from 1 species